GCGGACGGGUGAGUAACACGUGGAUAACCUACCUAUAAGACUGGGAUAACUUCGGGAAACCGGAGCUAAUACCGGAUAAUAUUUUGAACCGCAUGGUUCAAAAGUGAAAGACGGUCUUGCUGUCACUUAUAGAUGGAUCCGCGCUGCAUUAGCUAGUUGGUAAGGUAACGGCUUACCAAGGCAACGAUGCAUAGCCGACCUGAGAGGGUGAUCGGCCACACUGGAACUGAGACACGGUCCAGACUCCUACGGGAGGCAGCAGUAGGGAAUCUUCCGCAAUGGGCGAAAGCCUGACGGAGCAACGCCGCGUGAGUGAUGAAGGUCUUCGGAUCGUAAAACUCUGUUAUUAGGGAAGAACAUAUGUGUAAGUAACUGUGCACAUCUUGACGGUACCUAAUCAGAAAGCCACGGCUAACUACGUGCCAGCAGCCGCGGUAAUACGUAGGUGGCAAGCGUUAUCCGGAAUUAUUGGGCGUAAAGCGCGCGUAGGCGGUUUUUUAAGUCUGAUGUGAAAGCCCACGGCUCAACCGUGGAGGGUCAUUGGAAACUGGAAAACUUGAGUGCAGAAGAGGAAAGUGGAAUUCCAUGUGUAGCGGUGAAAUGCGCAGAGAUAUGGAGGAACACCAGUGGCGAAGGCGACUUUCUGGUCUGUAACUGACGCUGAUGUGCGAAAGCGUGGGGAUCAAACAGGAUUAGAUACCCUGGUAGUCCACGCCGUAAACGAUGAGUGCUAAGUGUUAGGGGGUUUCCGCCCCUUAGUGCUGCAGCUAACGCAUUAAGCACUCCGCCUGGGGAGUACGACCGCAAGGUUGAAACUCAAAGGAAUUGACGGGGACCCGCACAAGCGGUGGAGCAUGUGGUUUAAUUCGAAGCAACGCGAAGAACCUUACCAAAUCUUGACAUCCUUUGACAACUCUAGAGAUAGAGCCUUCCCCUUCGGGGGACAAAGUGACAGGUGGUGCAUGGUUGUCGUCAGCUCGUGUCGUGAGAUGUUGGGUUAAGUCCCGCAACGAGCGCAACCCUUAAGCUUAGUUGCCAUCAUUAAGUUGGGCACUCUAAGUUGACUGCCGGUGACAAACCGGAGGAAGGUGGGGAUGACGUCAAAUCAUCAUGCCCCUUAUGAUUUGGGCUACACACGUGCUACAAUGGACAAUACAAAGGGCA
rnacentral:rRNA from 1 species